UACGUAGGCAGCAAGCGUUGUUCGGAUUUACUGGGCGUAAAGGGUGCGUAGGCGGCUUUUUAAGUUUGGUGUGAAAUCUCCCGGCUCAACUGGGAGGGUGCGCCGAAUACUGAGAGGCUAGAGUGUGGGAGAGGAAAGUGGAAUUCCUGGUGUAGCGGUGAAAUGCGUAGAUAUCAGGAGGAACACCGGUGGUGUAAACGGCUUUCUGGACCAUAACUGACGCUGAGGCACGAAAGCGUGGGUAGCAAACGGG
rnacentral:rRNA from 1 species